UGGGGAAUAUUGCACAAUGGGCGGAAGCCUGAUGCAGCGACGCCGCGUGGGGGAUGAAGUCCUUCGGGUUGUAAACUCCUUUCGACAGGGACGAAGCUUUUGUGACGGUACCUGUAUAAGAAUAACCGGCUAACUACGUGCCAGCAGCCGCGGUAAUACCUAGGGUGCGAGCGUUGUCCUGAAUUACUGGGCGUAAAGAGCUCGUAGGUGGUUUGUCGCGUCGUCUGUGAAACUCCGGGGCGUAACUCCGGGCGUGCCGGCGAUACAGGCUGACUUGAGUGCUGUAGUGGAGGCUGGACUACCUGGUGUAGCGGUGAAAUGCGCAGAUGUCAGGAGGAACACCGAUGGCGAAGGAAGGUCUCUGGGCAGUAACUGACGCUGAGGAGCGAAAGCAUGGGUAGCGAACAGG
rnacentral:rRNA from 1 species